GGGGAAUUUUGGACAAUGGGGGCAACCCUGAUCCAGCCAUGCCGCGUGAGUGAAGAAGGCCUUCGGGUUGUAAAGCUCUUUCGGACGGAAAGAACACGGAUGGGUUAAUACCCUGUUCGGAUGACGGUACCGUCAUAAGAAUCACCGGCUAACUACGUGCCAGCAGCCGCGGUAAUCACGUAGGGGCGGCGUUAAUCGGAAUUACUGGGCGUAAAGCGUGCGCAGGCGGUUGAUUAAGACAGGCGGUGAAAUCCCCGGGCUUAACCUGGGAACUGCGCUUGUGACUGGUCGGCUAGAGUACGGCAGAGGGGGGUGGAAUUCCACGUGUAGCAGUGAAAUGCGUAGAGAUGAGGAGGAACACCGAUGGCGAAGGCAGCCCCCUGAGCCGAUACUGACGCUCAUGCACGAAAGCGUGGGUAGCAAACA
rnacentral:rRNA from 1 species